AUUGAAAUACCGGUUCCCAUACGAUUACUGAAGUUAAGCAACGCCAAGCCUGGUUAGUACAUAGAUGUGUGAACGCUUAGGAAUACAGGUGCUGUAAG